rnacentral:lncRNA from 1 species
UGAAGUUUUUAUGCAUUUCUGGGUUUGUGUUCUUGGUUAUGAAUUUUGAGUAGUGAUUAGGGUUCUUGAGGAUGGGUUAGAGUAGCUUAGAAUCUUUAAUCUAAUAGGUGGUUGAGUUUGAUUGGUAGAUCCCUUCUGGAUUAGUUGUUCUUAAUGCUGAUUGCUUUCUGAUCAACUGGAAUCUGAGCCCAGACAUUUCCGCACCCAAAAGGUGUUCGAUGAAAUGUCUGAACCACUAAUUCCAGAGAUUCGUGGCUCUGUACCAAGGUAUUGGUUACAGGGAGCGUUUUGGCUUAGACUUGUUGUUUCGUAAUGCCUGUUAAGUUAGCUCUCGUCAAUGGUGAUUGAGUCUGGGACUAGCUUUGCUUGAGGAUCUCUGUUGCGGUAGCACUUUGAUUUGGUUAUUGAACUUGUUGUCUAGGGAUAGUUUGUUGAGCAUGUUAACCACCUGUUAGAUUAAGGAGACUUCACUACUCGAUUACCCCAUCCUCGGGAAUUUCUCUUCCA